CCUACGAGAGGCAGCAGUGAGGAAUAUUGGUCAAUGGACGAGAGUCUGAACCAGCCACGUAGCGUGAAGGAUGACUGCCCUAUGGGUUGUAAACUUCUUUUAUAUGGGAAUCACAUGUUCCACGUGUGGGAUUUUGUAUGUACCAUAUGAAUAAGGAUCGGCUAACUCCGUGCCAGCAGCCUCGGUAAUACGGAGGAUCCGAGCGUUAUACGGAUUUAUUGGGUUUAACGGGAGCGUAGUGGGAUUGUUAAGUCAGUUGUGAAAGUUUGCGGCUCAACCGUAAAAUUGCAGUUGAUACUGGCAGUCUUGAGUACAGUAGAGGUGGGCGGAAUUCGUGGUGUAGCGGUGAAAUGCUUAGAUAUCACGAAGAACUCCGAUUGCGAAGGCAGUUCACUGGACUGCAACUGACACUGAGGCUCGAAAGUGUGGGUAUCAAACAGGAUUAGAUACCCGAGUAGUC
rnacentral:rRNA from 1 species